GAUGAACGCUGGCGGCGUGCUUAACACAUGCAAGUCGAACGGAAAGGCCCAAGCUUGCUUGGGUACUCGAGUGGCGAACGGGUGAGUAACACGUGGGUGAUCUGCCCUGCACUUCGGGAUAAGCCUGGGAAACUGGGUCUAAUACCGGAUAGGACGAUGGUUUGGAUGCCAUUGUGGAAAGUUUUUUCGGUGUGGGAUGAGCUCGCGGCCUAUCAGCUUGUUGGUGGGGUAAUGGCCUACCAAGGCGUCGACGGGUAGCCGGCCUGAGAGGGUGUACGGCCACAUUGGGACUGAGAUACGGCCCAGACUCCUACGGGAGGCAGCAGUGGGGAAUAUUGCACAAUGGGCGCAAGCCUGAUGCAGCGACGCCGCGUGGGGGAUGACGGCCUUCGGGUUGUAAACUCCUUUCGCUAGGGACAAAGCGUUUUUGUGACGGUACCUGGAGAAGAAGCACCGGCUAACUACGUG
rnacentral:rRNA from 1 species